AUCACAAUGGUGGAAUGUCAUCAGUUAAGGCUAUUUUUACUUCUUGUGUGGAUCUUCAGUUACUUCAGGCCAUCUGGAUGUAUACGUGCAAGUCACAGGGGAUGCAGUGGCUUGGCUUGGGCUCAGAGGCCUGACAGUGUGAUCUUGGCUCACUGCAAACUCUGCCUCCUGGGUUCAAGCAAUUUUUGUGCCUCAGCUUCCCAAGUAGCUGGGAUUACAGGUGCCCGCCACCAUGCCCAGCUAAUUUUUGUAUUUUUAGUAGAGACAGAGUUUCACCAGAUUGGCCAGGCUGGUCUCGAACUCCUGUCUCACAUGUCUGUGUGAAGAGACCACCAAACAUGCUUUGUGUGAGCAACAUGGCUGUUUAUUUCACCUGGGUGCAGGCGGGCUGAGUCCGAAAAAGGAGUCAGCAAAGGGUGGUGUGAUUAUCACUGGUUCUUAUAGGUUUGGGGAUAAGCGGUGGAGUUAAGAGCAGUGUUUUGGGGGCAGGAGGUGGAUCUCAUAAAGUACAUUCUCAAGGGUGAGGAGAAUUACAAAGAAACUUCUUAAGGGUGGGGGAGAUUAUAAAGAACCUUCUUAAGAGUGGGGCAGAUUACAAAGUACAUUGAUCAGGAAGCAAAGUCUAUAGGGAGCUAUAUAAUAGAGGCUGCAGAUUCAUGGCAGAUUCUAAAGCACAGCAGUCCCCAACAUUUUUGGCACCAGGGACCGGCUUUGUGGAAGACAAUUUUUCCACAGGCGGCAUGGGAUGGGGCGCAGGAUGGUAAUGGUCUUGGGAUGAAACUGUUCCACCACAAAUCAUCAGGAAUUAGAUUCUCAUAAGGAAUAUGCAACCUGGAUCCCUCGUGUGUGCAAUUCACAACAGGGUUCAUGCUCCUGUAAGAAUCUAAUGAUGCUGCUGAUCUGACAGGAGGCAGAGCUCAGGCAGCAAUGCAAGCAAUGGGGAGCAGCCAGAAAUACAGACGAAGCUUCAAUUGUUACCCACCAUUCACCUUCUGCUCUGUGGCCCAGUUCCUAACAGGCCACAGACCAGUACAUGUCCAUGGCCCAGGGGUCAGGGACCCCUGCUGUGGCACAUUGCUUAAUAGAGGACUGUAGCAGCCAUGUGCCCUGACCUUUCCUUUUUUUUUUUUUUUUUUUGAGAUGCCA
rnacentral:lncRNA from 10 species